rnacentral:rRNA from 1 species
AUGGAAAAGAAAGAUGCUAAACCUAGACUUAUUAGAUGGGUUCUCUUGCUACAAGAAUUUGAUUUACAUACUAUUGAUAGAAAGGGAGCUGAGAACCCCGUUGCAGAUAACUUGUCUACGUUAGAAAAUGUUCUUGAUGACCCACUACCCAUUGAUGAUAGCUUUCCUGAUGAACAAUUUAAUGUCAUAAAUGCUUCUCGUACUGCUCCAUGGUAUGCUUAUUAUGCUAAUUACAUUGUUGCCAAAUUUAUACCACCUAGUUUCACAUACCAGCAAAAGAAAAAGUUUUUCUAUGAUUUAAGACAUUACUUCUGGGAUGACCCACAUCUUUAUAAAGAAGGAGUAGAUGGUGUUAUUAGGCGUUGUGUACCUGAGCAUGAACAGGAACAGAUCCUAUGCAAGUGUCACUCCGAAGCUUAUGGAGGACACCACGCUCGAGAUAGAACUGCGCAUAAGGUAUUGCAAUCCGGCUUUUAUUGGCCUACUCUCUUCAAGGAUGCUCGUAAGUUUGUCUUAUCUUGUGAUGAAUAUCAAAGAAUUGGUAACAUUAGUAGACGUCAAGAAAUGCCUAUGAAUUAUUCACUUGUUAUUGAACCAUUUUACGUUUGGGGCUUUGAUUAUAUGGGACCUUUUCCUUCCUCUAAUGGGUAUACACAUAUUUUAGUUGCUGUUGAUUACGUUACUAAGUGGGUAGAAGCUAUUCCAACUAGUAGUGCUGAUCAUAACACCUCUAUUAAGAUGCUUAAAGAAGUUAUUUUUCCGAGGUUUGGAGUCCCUAGAUAUUUAAUGACUGAUGGUGGUUCACAUUUUAUUCAUGGUGUUUUUCGUAAAAUGCUUGCUAAGUAUGAUGUUAAUCAUAAAAUUGCAUCUCCUUAUCACCCACAGUCUAGUGGUCAAGUAGAAUUGAGUAAUAGAGAGCUCAAAUUAAUUUUGCAAAAUAUUGUUAAUAGAUCUAGAAAGAAUUGGUCCAAGAAACUUGAUGAUGCAUUAUGGGCCUAUAGAACUGCAUAUAAAAAUCCUAUGGGUAUGUCUCCGUAUAAAAUGGUUUAUGGAAAAGCAUGUCACUUACCUCUCGAACUAGAACAUAAGGCAUAUUGGGCUAUUAAAGAGCUCAAUUAUGAUUUCAAACUUGCCGGUGAGAAGAGGCUAUUUGACAUUAGCUCACUUGAUGAAUGGAGAACCCAAGCCUAUGAGAAUGCCAAGUUGUUUAAAGAAAAAGUUAAAAGAUGGCAUGACAAAAGGAUACAAAAGCGUGAGUUUAAUGUAAGUGAUUAUGUAUUAUUAUACAACUAUCGUUUAAGAUUUUUUGCAGGAAAACUUCUCUCUAAAUGGGAAGGUCCUUACGUUAUCGAGGAGGUCUAUCAUUCCGGUGCCAUAAAAAUCAACAACUUCGAAGGCACGAAUCCGAAGGUGGUGAACGGUCAAAGAAUUAAACAUUAUAUCUCAUGUAACCCUAUAAACGUUGAAACUAAUGUUAUUGAAACCGUAACACCGGAGGAAUACAUAAGGGAAAAAUUUCAGAAUGUUUCAGACUCCGAAAAGGAAUAG